UACGUAGGUGGCAAGCGUUAUCCGGAUUUAUUGGGCGUAAGGGGAACGCAGGCGGUCUUUUAAGUCUGAUGUGAAAGCCUUCGGCUUAACCGGAGUAGUGCAUUGGAAACUGGGAGACUUGAGUGCAGAAGAGGAGAGUGGAACUCCAUGUGUAGCGGUGAAAUGCGUAGAUAUAUGGAAGAACACCAGUGGCGAAAGCGGCUCUCUGUCUGUAACUGACGCUGAGGUUCGAAAGCGUGGGUAGCAAACAGG
rnacentral:rRNA from 1 species